CCACAGCUGGAGGUGGAUGAAGAAUUCUGUUUUUAAAAGACCUCAGAGAACUUGAAUUUAAUUAAAUGAGCAUUUUUACUCCAUUCCAAAAGGAAGCAAAACAAACCACCCUGUUUCUGAACUUCGAAGGACCUAAAGCUUCCUACUUUUGAUUUGGUAAAAAGCUGAGUGAGUUCUGCCCCUCAGGAGUUAGUGAAAUAAGGGCAGCCCCGCCUCAAAGCCUCACCACCAGCUGCGAACUCUUUCCAUAGAGUCCUGAGAGUGGACAUUGCAAGCAGCUCUCACCAGGCACGAUCCUGUUUUGCAAGGGCUCCAUGCCCCACUUACUGGAGGACCAAGCAAGACCUUGUUGCCUUCGAUUUAUAGGAUCCCAGUGAGAUCCUGAUAUUUUCCAUAGAUUCUUAACAACAUUUCAAGUUAAAUAUUAAACUAUUCAUAGACUUAGUGUGGAGUGAGCCAAGUGCAACACGUUGCUCUCAGGGGUGUUGGCUACUCCG